rnacentral:tRNA from 1 species
GACUCAUUGGCGCAACGGUAGCGCGUUCGACUCCAGAUCGAAAGGCUAAGCGUUCAAAUCGCUUAUGGGUCA